rnacentral:misc_RNA from 1 species
GAUGAAGAACGUAGCGAAAUGCGAUAAGUAAUGUGAAUUGCAGAAUUCAGUGAAUCAUCGAGUCUUUGAACGCACAUUGCGCCCUCUGGUAUUCCGGAGGGCAUGCCUGUCCGAGCGUCAUUGCUGCCCUCAAGCACGGCUUGUGUGUUGGGCCCCGCCCCCCGAUCCCGGGGGGCGGGCCCGAAAGGCAGCGGCGGCACCGCGUCCGGUCCUCGAGCGUAUGGGGCUUUGUCACCCGCUCUGUAGGCCCGGCCGGCGCCUGCCGAUCAACCAAACUUUUUUCCAGGUUGACCUCGGAUCAGGUAGGGAUACCCGCUGAACUUAAGCAUAUCAAUAGCGGAGGA